GGCCGGGUAGCUCAGUCGGUAGAGCAGGGGACUGAAAAUCCCCGUGUCGGCGGUUCGAUUCCGUCCCCGGCCACCA
rnacentral:tRNA from 1 species